rnacentral:sRNA from 2 species
AUAUCUCUCCGUACGGGAAGGAUGAGAAGCUUCGACUAAGGUUCGAUUCGAGCGCAGCGAGAACGCGUUGCCGCAGGCAACGACCCGAAGGGCGAAGCGCGCAGCGCUGAGUCAUC